UACGUAGGUGGCAAGCGUUGUCCGGAUUUAUUGGGUUUAAAGGGUGCGUAGGCGGCUCUCUAAGUCAGUUGUGAAAUACUUCAGCUUAACUGGAGAGGUGCAAUUGAUACUGGAGAACUUGAGUACUGAUGAGGUAGGCGGAAUGGACGGUGUAGCGGUGAAAUGCUUAGAUAUCGUCCAGAACACCGAUAGCGAAGGCAGCUUACUAAGGAGUAACUGACGCUGAGGCACGAAAGUGUGGGGAUCAAACAGG
rnacentral:rRNA from 1 species